rnacentral:rRNA from 1 species
UAAUGCCUGCCCAGUGACACUGUUAAACGGCCGCGGUAUCCUAACCGUGCAAAGGUAGCGUAAUAACUUGUCUUUUAAAUAAAGACUAGAAUGAAUGGCCAAACGAGGCUCUACCUGUCUCUUACAAAUAAUCAGUGAAAUUGAUCUUCCCGUGCAAAAGCAGGAAUAAUAUUAUAAGACGAGAAGACCCUGUGGAACUUCAAAUAUAAAAUCAACUAUCACUAACACCCCACCUUAACAGGCAUAUACCAAAUAGCAUUUGAUUUUUAUUUUCGGUUGGGGCGACCUCGGAACAAAACAAAACCUCCGAAAAAAGAACUAUUCAUAAACCUAGAGCCACAAUUCAAAGUGCUCCCAGCAAAGCGAUCCAAUACAUUUGAUCAACGAACCAAGCUACCCCAGGGAUAACAGCGCAAUCCCAUCCUAGAGUCCCUAUCAACGAUGGGGUUUACGACCUCGAUGUUGGAUCAGGACAUCCUGAUGGUGCAACCGCUAUCAAGGGUUCGUUUGUUCAACGAUUAAUAGUCCUACGUGA